rnacentral:lncRNA from 1 species
GGAGAGUCCUAAGGAGGCACUCAGGCCUCGGGCUUUGUUCCACCACAGUAUCCACCCUACCCGCAAGGGCCAGGGUAUCCGAUGGGAGGUACAUCGGAUUUCUUUCAUUGCAGCCCAUAUCCCGCCUUUAUGCCCAAUCCACCCUUUUACCCACCUUACCCACAGUACCCCAUGUUUCCACCCUCAUCCUUCUACCCAGGUCCAGUAAAC